rnacentral:misc_RNA from 1 species
GGCCCGGCACCCCGCUCUUCGGUGUCGACGGAGAUGCCUGGGCUGGCGCGGUGCCGAAGAGACUUGCGGACAUGACGACGUCCGUACCAGCCCACCACACAUCGUGUCGACGGUUCAACAAGUAUGCACAGUCGCCCGCUCUUGCCAGGGGCGUGCAGAUUCAGAAGAUGGCGGAAUGCGCCCUGCUGCCACAGGUUCAUCGCAACAUCUCACCUGCCGCGGCACAUGCAGGCUAGUCAAGAAAUGCAUUACGAACCGAUCGCACGGCGCACGCGUGCGACGCAUGCGGCAUUGCAUCUCCUCCAUCCGACCGUGCGAGCCGAUGAGGUGCAGGCGCCGGAAGUGUGACGCGAGCACCCCCGAAGGGCCGCGCCGAGUCCUCCAGGCUCCAGUGGGGAGAGCCUCCAAGUCAUAUUCUAGGAUGCCGCAGCUGGAGGCAGCUCAGGGCGGAGCAUGGCACACAGGCAGGGUGCAGGGUCUUCGAGGGCCCAGCCCUGAGGCUGCCCAGCAUCGUCCCUGAGCUCAUCCGGCAUAUCACCUUGGCCAUCCCCUAUCACCCGCGCGACAGACGUCGAUCGUGGGCGGUGGGUGUGCAUGCGCACAGUUAUGGGCUUGCUCCGUGGUAGAGUGCACACGCUGCGUGAGCCCCAUUGCCCUGCCCCGCACCGCAUGCGGCCAUGCGCCACGCGACAGCCCCUGCGCGGCCCUGUGUCACAGGCAGCCCAUCCGCGUGGUGCGAAGCAGCCGCAGACGCGCAGGUGUCACGGCACAAUGCCCCGACUCCGUCAUCUGAGAGCACGGCCCCUCCGCCUCACACUCUACCCACAACCAGCAGGCGAUGCGUGAGGGCCGGGGGUGGGGCACACGCUUGAGUCGCGUUUACGCUUCGCCCAUCACAUGGGGUGGCACAAGCGUGUGCACGGUCACAGGCCGCUCCGGCGCCCCGCCAUCCACGGCCUGGCCGCCGAGACCAGUGGCGAUACAUCGCGCUGCCCUUCCCCCCCCUCCUCCUACGCCGUAGGGGGCCUAGCCCUGUCACCACCGGAAGUGGCUCUGCAUUGGCAGGGGUGAAGAGGGGAGGGGAGAGACCGCUUGGCUUUCCCACGCACAGAGUUUGUGUGUAUGUGUGUGUGCGCUGGAUGCCAGGCACUGGGGUGAGCUCGUGUCAUGAGGAAUG